AGGGUAGCAAAGUUAGGCGGCUGUUGUUUUGGCGCGUGCUGAGAGCACCACAGUGUGUGCCAGCCAGUGUGAACGCAAGGACCUCCUGACUCCGGAGACCCUGUCAAGAGGAGAGGAGCCUUAGGUAUCCCAAGCUCACCUUGAACUCACGAUGUAUCCGACUGUCACUCCGAACUUGAUCCCCCUGCGUUCCCUUACUGCGUGCUGGGAUUACCCAUGUGUGCCUCCAGGACCAGUCUGUGAAGCCCCCUGGAGCUCAAACCCAGGAUUUCCUGCCCGCUAAGACAAGAGAGAGCUCUAUCCACCGAGCCACAACCCCAGUCCCAGCUGUCCUGAUUCUGAGACCAAGUGCAAGUCAGCGAAUGCCAGGAGUGACUCCCCUGGUCCUCAGCCUCCAUCACCAAAUGAGCACAUUAUUCUCCUAAUAAAUCCUCAUAUAGAAGAAA